rnacentral:lncRNA from 1 species
UUGGCGAUGUGCUAAAAUUUGAGAAUGGAAGGGAUCAGGAGCACUUGCAUUGUCCGCACAAGUAGAUUGCUGACGUCGACGGGAGAUCUAUUGCUUUCUGCCUCUUGCAAUGGUUGCCAAAGACCCCUGCAAGAAUCCACUUGAAUUCGCAACCAGCGGCACAGCACAAAUGAGGGAUGCCGGACGCAGCCAGUUGAGGCCGAAAUGUGCUCAGGACACAUGAGUCUUCCUUUUCUUUUUCCUCCAUCGCGUGAGAGGCGUGACCACCCAAACCCCAUGCCUGCCACAAGCGAUCAAAGUCUUCGUAGCACCGCCUCUGUAUGCAGCUGCUAAUGCUAUGAGUGCUACUGCAUUAUUGUCGCCAGCCAUGUUUGAUGGUCAUUCUUGCAGUGCAGAUUAAGGCCCACGCCUACAUUAGUUGACAUGGUAAAUUUUUCUUAAUUUUAAGGCACGUAUCUUUUACAUUGGUUAGAUCAACAGAAAGGCUCCGUAAGUUUAAUUUUGGACUUGUAAUGAGCUUGAUUAUUAGCUGUGUAAUGUGAGCAAAACAUUUUUUUUC